rnacentral:lncRNA from 1 species
UAGCAACUUUAUAUAUUAAGGACUAUGUCUACUGUAACCUUACAAAACAUGUUUCUUAAAUGAUUAGAGUUUGAAAGUCACAGUUACACAUUUAUGCAUGGACUACAGAAUAGAUGUGUUAGGCAUGGAAACAUUAUUCUUGUAAAUCUUCAUCAGAGCUCUUGACUAACUUAGGUGCAUUGUCAGUGAGCUGUUAUCUUGUGAGACAAAUGGACAGUUAUUUCUGGGAGAACAUAAAAUCUUUUUCCUGCAUUAUUUGUGAAAAAUGAAUCAGUAUAUGUAAGUAGCCAGUUGCCCAGACAUAAGAUGUUUUGACGAAGGCAGGGAACCUUCUGCACUUAAAGAGCCUGCCCCAAACUUACCACCGUCUUUCACUAUAGUUGGUGGUCUGUAGAUCUGUUUUUGAGUUUUAAAGUAACAAUUCUGAUCACCUUUUGGGAUUACAAAUAUGAUCCCUGUCUUCUAGAAUAAGGGAACAAAACUUUCACUCUCAUCUGCCAACCCCAACCAGUCCCCAUUGCCAGCAGCUUCUACAGAUACAUAUCCUUUGAAGAGGAUCCGGACUCCAUUCUGACAAACUGAGUGGCCCAGAUGGACUGGGUCCUUCUCUCCAGUUGUGGAAUACCUAAACCAGUCUGCCUAGUCCAACACUACAAAAUGUGAUUUCCCAAGAACUUUAGGGUUACCAUUUCUGGCUACAGCACAGGCAUUUUGCCUCAGCAGCUGUCCUCAAAUGUUCAGCUCAGAAAUGGAAAUCUGCCUACUGUAGAUAGGGAGUACAUGGUUCCAAUACUCUCCUGCUCAACUCUGUGCAUCCCAGGGAGUACUAGAAGCCUGCUCUUGAGCAGUGCUGACCGCUGGACAGAUACGAUGGCAAUUCAGUUCUCAGCAGUGGAGCCAUCCUGGGCCUGAGUUGAGCUUGAGUUUGAUUUACUAUUUUAGAUUUUGUCUUGAAAUGGAGAACCUUUUGGAAUUAAACUUCAUUCAAACUAGACAUUUGUUCCAGCAUCCUUGGUACUAGCUAUUUGGAAUAAAAUAUGGAAAUACUGAACUUUGUAUAAUUCUGUAAGCCUUAGAGAGGCCUACAGAUUAAGGGAUACUUUUAAGAGUUACACUACUGGUCAUCCUUCCUCUCCAAGACCUUUAUCCUACCUGCUAGGGUAGCCGAAGCUGAAAUGCAAAUGUUAAUUCGUCCUAUUUCCACAGUGGCCCCUGGCAUGGAUAAUUGGAUGAUGCCAGCUGUCACAAACAAGCUAUAAAUGAAAGUAUUUCUUACAGCAAGUAUAAGGAUAUACUUUACAAGAGUAUUAAGCAUUUCAGAGUCAGUAGUGCUUUCGCAGUCUUUAAUGGUGAGGUACAAAUCUGCUUUUCAACUUUCCUCAAGGGAUGGAAUAUAAGGAUGACCUUUACAGCUGAUUUACAAAGGUAAAUUUGCAGAUGGGACCUGACCAUGUUUCAGCACAUAUGGAGAAAUGUGUAUAGAACUAUAGCCUGUUUUUCUAGUGUAAAGAGUGUUAGGACACAGUCACACACACGGAAGUUGAAUUCGUACUUAGGGUUCCUCAUAUGCAGAAUGAAUUCUGUUAGUCUGUAGGCUUACUUGCCUUACAUCCGGUAGCUUAUUUUGUUUUACUACUACUACUACUACUACUACUACUACUAAUAAUAAUAAUAAUAAAAACCCUCUUUGAGAAA